GUUCAGGGGGACCAGGAAUUCACCCCCUCUGUCUACCGCUUUUCUACACGGUGCGGGGGAGCCGCCUGGGGGUGUUGGCUGUGAGGCCGCAGAGAAAUGACACACACGGUCCCGUGGCUGGAGACAGCGUCACCUUACAGCUCCAGGGCUGGAGCUCAGGGACCAGCCCUCCACUGCACAGCUGCUCUCGUCUGGCCCCAUCACCUACUGCCCCACGGCGAGCCCCCCUCCCCCUCCCCCUCCCCCGCUGGCCUCUGGUACCCAUCAUAGCUGGUGGCCAGAGGAAGGUCAGGGAGGGUCACCAAGCCCCAAGCUGGCUGGCCCCUCACGGCCUUCCUCGUGCUCCCGAUGGCAGAGGCCACCUCCCCUGAGUGGGGCAUGUGUGUGUGUGAACGUGAGUGCGCACAGGUCACGUGGGUGUGGGUGUGGAUGUGCACGUGCGUGUGCGUGGGCAGGGCUCUUGUGAAAUCUGGAGCCCCGUACGACAAUUCAGGGCAAAUUAUACCUCCACCAAGAGCAGAGAAAUGUGGAAAUAUUUCUCAACUGAGGCUUUUAGAUAAUGUAUUGAUACAUUCUGUCUAAACCGGGCAAGGCAGGUUACUCGUACAAAAUUAUGUUUCAAAAUCCCUCAACUAAAUCUCUAGCUUCUGAGAUGUCUGGCGUGUAACUCACAUAAUAGAGAUUUUAUUCGAAGCCGUGAAAAUGGCUUGUAUCUUGUCACCGAUACUUUUAAAAUAAAAACUACAUAUAGACUGAACCUAAGGUAACUUUCCAACGUCGAGACCCAUCAUUAUAUUUUACAGAGUGAACACGUGAUUAUCUCUCAUGCCCGAUUACUUGGCUGUGCUGAGGACUCCAACACUUCCAAGAGAAAGAAGGCGAAAAGCCUUGGGGAUAAUGCAUGGGACGAAGUUAGACACUUCCAGCCCCAUCCAGGGUCUUUCUCUUUAUCAGACCCAGUUCUCAGCUCUGCUGUGUGAGGACGUUCACGCCUCCGCGCACGUCACCGGCCGGGCAGCACUUUGUGCGUGUGCGUGGUGGCUCCCUCCCACGGGUGUGCCACCAUCGGUGACCAGAGCGUCACGGGACGGCCGGUCUAGGCAAAGGAGGGUUACGGUCCUGGUCAUCUUUACUGGGACCGGGUCCCAGAUCCUGGGGGCACAGGAUGUAAGCAUGGUCUCUGAAACGUAUCAACACAACAGACGUUCAGACCAACAGCUGGCACCUAUUAGCGCCCACGGCUGUCUUCCCGGGGAGGGAGCUGUCACCCGGUGCUAAGUAUACCCACAUCACGCUCGUGGCCACCGCCGUCAGGAAGUCACUGGAGCUUUCCACCCACAUUUGGAAUCUGCAUUUGGGAGAAGCCUGUGUUUAAGGGCUCCUAACAGGCAGAUGCCAGCUGGAUGUCCACUCGGGGACAUCCUGCCGGACACGAAGCCAGCCUGACGGGCUCAUUGGGUCCAGCGACGGCCAUCUGGACGUGCAGAGGCGACACCGGCAACCAGGAGACGGUCGAUUUCCAAGGAACGAGUGCAGUGACCAUCCAGUUGAGACGCUCACCCCCAACGCCCAAAUAAGCGGGUGUCAGUCUUGGGCCGGACCUCUAGAUGCAGAUGCCCCCCUCUCUUCUGCUUGACGUGCCCUGGCCUGGAGGACAAGGGACCCACUGGCGAGGGCGGAGGAGCCGGGCACCGGGACAAUGUCCGACAGGGGGGUGCCGGAGGGACGCACAGAGCCCGAGGAGGGGUAGACGCAGCUACGCCGGGGUCACCAGGGGCAGCGGGUCUCCCGCGAGCUGUCCAGAGUACCAGGCCGUGCUCAGGCCGUCGCACCUCAGGGCCCCAGCCUGCAAGGAGCCCACAGCUGUUUGGCUGCAGGAGGUCAGCUUGGUGGUGACAUCUGGAAAUGCAAGUGUCUUCUCCCGCCUCUGUCUCCCGCUUACCGAGCCCAGACCUCAGACGGCCCGCCCGCUUCUGAAGAGAGGCAGGAACAGGCCGGCCACGCCCGCACGGUCCCAGAGCAGAAGCUGCCUGGGACACACGUGAAAACACGAAGGACAGAUCCACGCGGCCUGAGGUCCCAUCGUCCGGCGGAAACCGGCGGGAGGCGUUUGCCGCGUUCUCCACGCUGGGAGCACCCAGACACAAGCAGGGCACACGUGUGCACUUUCUCCCGAGCCCCAGGGAGUGCUGGGGACCCGCCCCCACUCCACGGGUGGCUGAAACAACAAAGAGUGUGGCAGACGGACGUUUUGUUUUCAUCACAUACCUGGUCCGGGGUGUCGUAAAGAAUGAGAACCGGUGUCGCUGGCACUAACCCAGCCAGCGGGAGGUGCAGUGGGAAAGCACACCUACUUUUGUAGAAAUCAGCACAAACGUUCUGUAAAACAAACCAGAGCAGGCAGCAGAACGAAAAGCAGACAGACCAGAGCGCGGGGGGACUUGAGUCGGCGGAGAGGGAAGCCAAGGCGGGCCUGAUCCAGAGCCCGGGAGCCGGGAGCUCCGGCCCCGUGGGCGCCACCCGGCUCGAGAAUCUUCUCCCCACAUCCACGCGGGGGGCCGCCUCCCCCUUCCCCGGGUGGACCCGGGUUGUUCUCCAGAGAGACUGAAACCUGGUCUCCGGGCCAGGGGGCCCCCGGUAUGCACAGCCUGCACACGAGGCCCCGUUUCCUGUCCUCCGAGAGGCACCGCGGGCAGGACGCGGGCGCACUCGGUCACACGGCACUGACGACACACGAGCAGGCCCGGAACCGAGGAAGGGCCCGUGGGCUGCGAUGUUUGGGGAAGCCGCCAGAAAGUACAGCUCCGCAGCAAGGCCAGACACAGGGAGGGAAGCGUGGGGAAGCGCGGGGCCGGCGGAGGGGCCGGGGCUCGGCCAACGGGAGUCCGGAGCGGAGAGCGAGGACCAUGGAACGCAGGUGGCACCAGCCAGCAAUCCCGGGAAAAUUCGCCAGAACCGAAGUUGUGGGUUUCCAGGUCGGAAGCCCUCCCACCCGCGGCUUCCCGGCGGCUGCCAGCACGUGGCCCAAGGGAGGGUCCCACAGAGGCACGAGGGUCAGGGAACGGUUCCCGUGUGCCAGGCAGCGCCGGGAGCCAGAGGGCCGUGCCAGGCUCCGGGUCACCGUCACCACAGGCCCAUGAGCGGGGGAGGGCCGUGGGGGGAGCCACGUCUCCAUCCCUCACCACGGCCGGCCGGGGACGGCGCCCACACCUAGCGAGUGAAGAGACAGCGAGCGCGGCUCGUGUGGGACAUGGCGAGCCCCAGAGGGCAGGCCCACGGCCCCGGGAGGAUCAGAGAGGACAGAGGCUACAGACACACGUCCCUCGGGAACAGACACGGGGUGUCGGGCCACAGAGCGGGCGCGGUCCCCCGGGCACAGCUCCGGGGCACGGGCAGCCCGCCGGACGUGAACGCCGGGCACCCUUAUUAUCGCUGCUGCGACGGAACGAUUCAUAAUCCACAGCCCUGCCCUUUCACGCGUCUCCAGGAUGAGACCACGCCGGAUGUGCAAGUCCGUCCGUCGGCUCCAGGGCUCAUCGGCCCCGAGAUCCUGGCUCAGACACGGCACGUGGAUUCCCCAGCCCUCCGGAGCCCCCGGCUCGGUCGAGGCGUGCGGGGCAACCCAAGGGCACUGCGUGGCUCACACGGAGUCCCAGUGCCACCCGGACCCGGGGCGCGGGUCUGUGGGCAGAGCUCCACGCCCAGCAGGUGCUGCAUGCGGGAGGUCACGUGACAGUCCCCGACCCCGUGCCUCAGUUUCCCACGUAUGUGUGCGAGCAAAUGCUUAAGCUGACAGAAAAUAAAAUGUGUCACGGGAA